UUAAGCGACUAAGCGUACACGGUGGAUGCCCUGGCAGUCAGAGGCGAUGAAGGACGUGCUAAUCUGCGAAAAGCGUCGGUAAGGUGAUAUGAACCGUUACAGCCGGCGAUGUCCGAAUGGGGAAACCCAGUGCAAUUCGUUGCACUAUCGUUAACUGAAUACAUAGGUUAACGAGGCGAACCGGGGGAACUGAAACAUCUAAGUACCCCGAGGAAAAGAAAUCAACCGAGAUUCCCCCAGUAGCGGCGAGCGAACGGGGAGCAGCCCAGAGUCUGAAUCAGCUUGUGUGUUAGUGGAACGGUCUGGAAAGUCCGACGGUACAGGGUGAUAGUCCCGUACACCAAAAUGCACAGGCUGUGAACUCGAAGAGUAGGGCGGGACACGUGGUAUCCUGUCUGAAUAUGGGGGGACCAUCCUCCAAGGCUAAAUACUCCUGACUGACCGAUAGUGAACCAGUACCGUGAGGGAAAGGCGAAAAGAACCCCGGCGAGGGGAGUGAAAAAGAACCUGAAACCGUGUACGUACAAGCAGUGGGAGCACCUUCGGGUGUGACUGCGUACCUUUUGUAUAAUGGGUCAGCGACUUAUAUUCUGUAGCAAGGUUAACCGUAUAGGGGAGCCGCAGGGAAACCGAGUCUUAACUGGGCGUUAAGUUGCAGGGUAUAGACCCGAAACCCGGUGAUCUAGCCAUGGGCAGGUUGAAGGUUGGGUAACACUAACUGGAGGACCGAACCGACUAAUGUUGAAAAAUUAGCGGAUGACUUGUGGCUGGGGGUGAAAGGCCAAUCAAACCGGGAGAUAGCUGGUUCUCCCCGAAAGCUAUUUAGGUAGCGCCUCGUGAACUCAUCUUCGGGGGUAGAGCACUGUUUCGGCUAGGGGGUCAUCCCGACUUACCAACCCGAUGCAAACUACGAAUACCGAAGAAUGUUAUCACGGGAGACACACGGCGGGUGCUAACGUCCGUCGUGAAGAGGGAAACAACCCAGACCGCCAGCUAAGGUCCCAAAGUCAUGGUUAAGUGGGAAACGAUGUGGGAAGGCACAGACAGCCAGGAUGUUGGCUUAGAAGCAGCCAUCAUUUAAAGAAAGCGUAAUAGCUCACUGGUCGAGUCGGCCUGCGCGGAAGAUGUAACGGGGCUAAACCAUGCACCGAAGCUGCGGCAGCGACACUAUGUGUUGUUGGGUAGGGGAGCGUUCUGUAAGCCUGCGAAGGUGUGCUGUGAGGCAUGCUGGAGGUAUCAGAAGUGCGAAUGCUGACAUAAGUAACGAUAAAGCGGGUGAAAAGCCCGCUCGCCGGAAGACCAAGGGUUCCUGUCCAACGUUAAUCGGGGCAGGGUGAGUCGACCCCUAAGGCGAGGCCGAAAGGCGUAGUCGAUGGGAAACAGGUUAAUAUUCCUGUACUUGGUGUUACUGCGAAGGGGGACGGAGAAGGCUAUGUUAGCCGGGCGACGGUUGUCCCGGUUUAAGCAUGUAGGCUGAUUGUCCAGGCAAAUCCGGAUAAUCAAGGCUGAGGUGUGAUGACGAGGCACUACGGUGCUGAAGUAACAAAUGCCCUGCUUCCAGGAAAAGCCUCUAAGCAUCAGGUAACAUCAAAUCGUACCCCAAACCGACACAGGUGGUCAGGUAGAGAAUACCAAGGCGCUUGAGAGAACUCGGGUGAAGGAACUAGGCAAAAUGGUGCCGUAACUUCGGGAGAAGGCACGCUGGUGUGUAGGUGAAGUCCCUGCGGAUGGAGCUGAGACCAGUCGAAGAUACCAGCUGGCUGCAACUGUUUAUUAAAAACACAGCACUGUGCAAACACGAAAGUGGACGUAUACGGUGUGACGCCUGCCCGGUGCCGGAAGGUUAAUUGAUGGGGUUAUCCGUAAGGAGAAGCUCUUGAUCGAAGCCCCGGUAAACGGCGGCCGUAACUAUAACGGUCCUAAGGUAGCGAAAUUCCUUGUCGGGUAAGUUCCGACCUGCACGAAUGGCGUAAUGAUGGCCAGGCUGUCUCCACCCGAGACUCAGUGAAAUUGAACUCGCUGUGAAGAUGCAGUGUACCCGCGGCAAGACGGAAAGACCCCGUGAACCUUUACUAUAGCUUGACACUGAACAUUGAGCCUUGAUGUGUAGGAUAGGUGGGAGGCUUUGAAGCGUGGACGCCAGUCUGCGUGGAGCCAACCUUGAAAUACCACCCUUUAAUGUUUGAUGUUCUAACGUUGGCCCCUGACCGGGGUUGCGGACAGUGUCUGGUGGGUAGUUUGACUGGGGCGGUCUCCUCCCAAAGCGUAACGGAGGAGCACGAAGGUUAGCUAAUCCUGGUCGGACAUCAGGAGGUUAGUGCAAUGGCAUAAGCUAGCUUGACUGCGAGCGUGACGGCGCGAGCAGGUGCGAAAGCAGGUCAUAGUGAUCCGGUGGUUCUGAAUGGAAGGGCCAUCGCUCAACGGAUAAAAGGUACUCCGGGGAUAACAGGCUGAUACCGCCCAAGAGUUCAUAUCGACGGCGGUGUUUGGCACCUCGAUGUCGGCUCAUCACAUCCUGGGGCUGAAGUAGGUCCCAAGGGUAUGGCUGUUCGCCAUUUAAAGUGGUACGCGAGCUGGGUUUAGAACGUCGUGAGACAGUUCGGUCCCUAUCUGCCGUGGGCGCUGGAGAAUUGAGGGGGGCUGCUCCUAGUACGAGAGGACCGGAGUGGACGCAUCACUGGUGUUCGGGUUGUCAUGCCAAUGGCACUGCCCGGUAGCUAAAUGCGGAAGAGAUAAGUGCUGAAAGCAUCUAAGCACGAAACUUGCCCCGAGAUGAGUUCUCCCUGAGACUAUAAGUCUCCUGAAGGAACGUUGAAGACGACGACGUUGAUAGGCCGGGUGUGUAAGCGCAGCGAUGCGUUGAGCUAACCGGUACUAAUGAACCGUGAGGCUUAACCUU
rnacentral:rRNA from 1 species